UGAAUGUGUGUGUAUAUAUAAGAAUGACGGAGAAAUAAUAACAGGUAUAAGGAAUGUAUUUACAUGAAAAAUUUCAUAUGUACUUUA